UAGGGAAUCUUCGGCAAUGGACGAAAGUCUGACCGAGCAACGCCGCGUGAGUGAAGAAGGUUUUCGGAUCGUAAAACUCUGUUGUUAGAGAAGAACAAGGACGUUAGUAACUGAACGUCCCCUGACGGUAUCUAACCAGAAAGCCACGGCUAACUACGUGCCAGCAGCCGCGGUAAUACGUAGGUGGCAAGCGUUGUCCGGAUUUAUUGGGCGUAAAGCGAGCGCAGGCGGUUUCUUAAGUCUGAUGUGAAAGCCCCCGGCUCAACCGGGGAGGGUCAUUGGAAACUGGGAGACGUGAGUGCAGAAGAGGAGAGUGGAAUUCCAUGUGUAGCGGUGAAAUGCGUAGAUAUAUGGAGGAACACCAGUGGCGAAGGCGGCUCUCUGGUCUGUAACUGACGCUGAGGCUAGAAAGCGUGGGGAGCAAACAGG
rnacentral:rRNA from 1 species